GAUGAACGCUGGCGGCGUGCCUAAUACAUGCAAGUCGAGCGAACUGAUUAGAAGCUUGCUUCUAUGACGUUAGCGGCGGACGGGUGAGUAACACGUGGGCAACCUGCCUGUAAGACUGGGAUAACUUCGGGAAACCGAAGCUAAUACCGGAUAGGAUCUUCUCCUUCAUGGGAGAUGAUUGAAAGAUGGUUUCGGCUAUCACUUACAGAUGGGCCCGCGGUGCAUUAGCUAGUUGGUGAGGUAACGGCUCACCAAGGCAACGAUGCAUAGCCGACCUGGGAGGGUGAACGGCCACACUGGGACAGGGAGACGGCCCAGACUCCUACGGGAGGAAGCAGUAGGGAAUCUUCCGCAAUGGACGAAAGUCUGACGGAGCAACGCCGCGUGAGUGAUGAAGGCUUUCGGGUCGUAAAACUCUGUUGUUAGGGAAGAACAAGUACGAGAGUAACUGCUCGUACCUUGACGGUACCUAACCAGAAAGCCACGGCUAACUACGUGCCAGCAGCCGCCGUAAGAC
rnacentral:rRNA from 1 species